UGGAAGGAGGGAGGGAGAGACGGUGCCUUAGGGCACACACCGGCCCGUCUGGGUUUGCCGUGUGGUCCAGCCUUGAAGGGCAGCAAGUGGGAAAGCUGAGCCGUCAGCACCGAAAGCUAGGCCCCCCGGAGGCCGAGCAGGCUGACCGCUGGUGGCAAAGAUGCGGAGGUGACCCCCAAGGCCAAAACACUUAAGCAGCGGAAACCCUGUCGGGGCAGAGCGAUUGCAGAUACUCCUGCUCUGCUGUUUUCCAGAGAGGCCGUGCACCAGAGGAAGUAUCCGGCCACAAAUCCAGAAUUAAAAGGAAAAGGCUCUUGCAACUGUCACGAAACUGCUUCGGGGGGACAAUCAUGGUGAUACUUGGUUAAAGUUCACAGAACACCUAAACACUCUCGCACUGAAGAUGUGCCUCAAGGGCUGUUCAGCCCUAGCAGAAACCCUCAGUCGAAGGUGAUAAUUGAUGCCCAUGCCGAUGAAGAGGUAAAUGCCCGCGACGAUAAGGAUGAUGC